CAGCCGCCGCGGGAAUACAGAGGAUGCAAGCGUUAUCCGGAAUGAUUGGGCGUAAAGCGUCUGUAGGUGGCUUCUCAAGUCCGCCGUCAAAUCCCAGGGCUCAACCCUGGACAGGCGGUGGAAACUACCAAGCUGGAGUAUGGUAGGGGCAGAGGGAAUUUCCGGUGGAGCGGUGAAAUGCGUUGAGAUCGGAAAGAACACCAACAGCGAAAUCACUCUGCUAGGCCGACACUGACACUGAGAGACGAAAUCUAGGGGAGCAAAUGGGAUUAGAUACCCCAGUAGUCCCUGUCUCUUAUAC
rnacentral:rRNA from 1 species